GAUGAACGCUGGCGGCGUGCCUAAUACAUGCAAGUCGAGCGAACAGACGAGGAGCUUGCUCCUCUGACGUUAGCGGCGGACGGGUGAGUAACACGUGGAUAACCUACCUAUAAGACUGGGAUCACUUCGGGAAACCGGAGCUAAUACCGGAUAAUAUAUUGAACCGCAUGGUUCAAUAGUGAAAGACGGUUUUGCUGUCACUUAUAGAUGGAUCCGCGCCGCAUUAGCUAGUUGGUAAGGUAACGGCUUACCAAGGCGACGAUGCGUAGCCGACCUGAGAGGGUGAUCGGCCACACUGGAACUGAGACACGGACCAGACUCCUACGGGAGGCAGCAGUAGGGAAUCGUCCGCAAUGGGCGAAAGCCUGACGGAGCAACGCCGCGUGAGUGAUGAAGGUCUUCGGAUCGUAAAACUCUGUUAUUAGGGAAGAACAGAUGUGUAAGUAACUAUGCACGUCUUGACGGUACCUAAUCAGAAAGCCACGGCUAACUACGUG
rnacentral:rRNA from 1 species